rnacentral:rRNA from 1 species
AUUGAACGCUGGCGGCAUGCCUUACACAUGCAAGUCGAACGGUAACGGGUCCUUCGGGAUGCCGACGAGUGGCGAACGGGUGAGUAAUAUAUCGGAACGUGCCCAGUAGUGGGGGAUAACUGCUCGAAAGAGCAGCUAAUACCGCAUACGACCUGAGGGUGAAAGGGGGGGAUCGCAAGACCUCUCGCUAUUGGAGCGGCCGAUAUCAGAUUAGCUAGUUGGUGGGGUAAAGGCCUACCAAGGCAACGAUCUGUAGUUGGUCGUAGCGGACGACCAGCCAAACUGGGACUGAGACACGGCCCAGACUCCUACGGGAGGCAGCAGUGGGGAAUUUUGGACAAGGGGCGCAAGCCUGAUCCAGCAAUGCCGCGUGCAGGAAGAAGGCCUUCGGGUUGUAAACUGCUUUUGUCAGGGAAGAAAUCUUCUGGGCUAAUACCCCGGGAGGAUGACGGUACCUGAAGAAUAAGCACCGGCUAACUACGUGCCAGCCGCCGCCGUAA